CCCUUAGAUGUUCUGGGCCGCACGCGCGCUACACUGAUGCAUUCAACGAGUUUCUUCCUGGUCCGAGAGGAAUGGGUAACCUUUUGAAAGUGCAUCGUGAUAGGGAUAGACUAUUGCAAUUAUUGGUCUUCAACGAGGAAUUCCUAGUAGACGUAGUUCAUCAGACUGCAUCGAUUACGUCCCUGCCCUUUGUACACACCGCCCGUCGCUCCUACCGAUUGAAUGCUCAGGUGAGCCAUCCGGACUUUCACCAUGCUGGUUUCCAGUUUUGAUGAAGGAAAGUCUUGCGAACCUUAUCAUUUAGAGGAAGGAGAAGUCGUAACA
rnacentral:rRNA from 1 species